GACGAACGCUGGCGGCGUGCUUAACACAUGCAAGUCGAACGGAGUGGCGAACGGGUGAGUAACACGUGGGUGACCUGCCCUGCACUUCGGGAUAAGCCUGGGAAACUGGGUAUAAUAACGGAUAGUGUGGGAUGGGCCCGCGGCCUAUCAGCUUGUUGGUGGGGUAAUGGCCUACCAAGGCGGCGACGGGUAGCCGGCGUGCGGUGGGGGACGGCCACAUUGGGACUGGGACAGGGCCAAGACUGCUACGGGAGGCAGCAGUGGGGAGUAUUGCACAAUGGGCGGAAGCCUGGUGCAGCAACGCCGCGGGCUGGAGGACGGCCUACGGGUUGUAAACCGCUUUCAGCCAUGACGCGGUAGUGGCAGAAGAAGCACCGGCUAACUACGUGCCAGCAGCCGCGGUAAUUC
rnacentral:rRNA from 1 species